rnacentral:lncRNA from 1 species
CGCCUUGCUAGUACUGAGGAAUCCCAUUUCAGCAUCACCUACCCAGUGUCAAAAGUAUCUCACUUUUGUUGGAGGCCACGGACACAAGUUUUCACAAACAUCAUUCUUUUUUUUAUUUUAACUGAAUCUGCCUUGAUCUGGAAUUGACAAACACUAUUCUCAUUGCCUGCAGCAAAAAAGAUUUUUAUUUCUUCUCUCUUUGGAUAUCUUUGGGAGUGACUUUGGAACAGAGGCUCCAUCUUCUACACACUUUUUGGGAACACCUAUUGCAUCCAUGGCCUGCUUUAAGUCUGCUGUUACUUUUCUACUGAGAUAAAAUCCACUGUUUGCAUCCAACCGUUUCUUUUUACUAUUGUUUGCAAACUGGAAACCAAAAUUAUGGUAUUCUUAAAACCAGAGAUGCCAACCUCUCUCAUUUGGCAUCCUGUUAACCAGUGGAAGAGAUCCAAGUUACUGGCAGCAAAUCCGUAGGAGUCCACAGCAACUUCAGUCCUUGCCUCUCCACAAGAAAGAAUCUGACUGAGGGGCAUAAAGCAGAAAAAGAGACCAAGGCAAGUUCCAGAGCAGGAAUAGAAGUUUAUCUGAAAAGGCCUUAGAACAUGAAAGCAAGGAACGUGUGCUUGGAAGAGACCCAAGUGGGCACGUGAAGGUUAAAGGGAAAAGGUCAAGUGCCUUGUUUAACCGUGAUCCUAGGAAUUUUAUAAGCUCGCCUCUUUCCCAUGUUUCUUCCUUUAGGGCAGACUUUCCACACGCCCAGGGCUUUCCUUAUCCUUUGGAACUGAACACACGCAAUGUAUUUAGGGAGUUAUAAACAUGCCCAUCUGAGGCUUCCUUCCCUUUUCCAGUGGAGCGUGCCCCCAGAAGAUCAUACCUCACCAUUUUUUUUUUUUUUUGGUCUCUUAAUACGCAUGCCCAGGAAGCUGCUCCUCCGUGGGGCCUGCAGUCAAUUAACAGUUUGAUGAUGUUAACAGGUGUGGACCAUCAGGAAAUGGCCUCUCCCUGGUGCUGCCAAAUUAUCAUUUUUAGACAGGCAAUGCAAUAAUUGCUGAACCAUCACCCGACAUUCUAGUUGGUAGAGGAGAGCCCUCUCUCCUGCCCAGCUCAUGCCUAAUUACCUGUAACAAUCCCACUGGGCCCAAUCUGUUUUUCACUGCAAAUGCCUUGCUACUAAGACUAUACAGGCAUCCUCCCUCUAAGCCCAGGGACUGUCGCAUGAGAGUGUAAGGGCGAGUUUUGAAGGAUAUAAUUAGGUCAAGGUCAGACCCUCCAAAUCAAGGAUGGGUACAAAGAUGCCUGAACAACUGGUAAAAGAAGAAAAUAAUUACUGACAGGAAUAAUGAUACCUUGUGACAAAGCCUCCUGGGUAUAAUACUCCCAGUUAUGAGUUGUACAGAUACAUAUUUUAAAUUUUUUCAGAACGGGUAUGUUUUGUAUAGCUAAUUGCCAUAAGUCUGUAACCAAAACCAAGAUUACAUACUAAAACUAAAAACAAGAUUGAGCUAUGGCUCAAUGCGUAGCAUAGAAGUUAAAAAUAAGUCAGUUUUGUAACCUCACCUUUGGCUUUUUGUUUGUUCAUCUUCUACUUAAAAAACAAAAUAAAUAAUAAUUAUAAGGGGUAAUGAAUGCCUGUCCAUGUCUAUUCCUAUCUGGCUUAGGAUAAUUAAUUGGCUAUAAGUCUUGUUUACUCUAAGUCCCUUGGCCAUACGGAGUCCCACUGAAGGACAGGAUGGACCAGGGGCAGGCCAGCCAUGCCAUCCCAACAAUACUAUGGGACAAAAUUAAAAUCUGGUGGCCACUGAUGUUGCCUCUGGCAAAUCUUGGACAAAAGGGGGAAAAUUCGAAGGCUCUCACAACCAUUUGAAUGCACUUCCUCAUUGGCCGGGGCACUCUAAAAUUUAACCAGAAAGACUGGUUCAGGCCAUGAAAGUGAAGUGGGGGUAAUCAUCAUACCCCUCCAGCCCUAAUAUUAAUGCAGACUGUAAGUCUGAUAAGAAACAUUUAUAAUCUAUUUUCUAUAAAGUCUGCUACCUGGAGGCUUUAUCUGCAGGAUAAAACCUUGCUGUCUACAACCCCUUAUCUUAACCCAGACAUUCCUUUCUUUAACAAUAAAUCUUUCAACCAAUUACCAAUCUGAAUAUUUUUAAAUCUACGUAUGACCUGGAAGCCCCCACUUCGAGUUGUCCCACCCUUCCAUAUCAAACCAAUGUAAAUCUCACACGUAUUGACUGAUAUAUUAGGUCUCCCUAAAUUGUAUAAAAGCAAGCUACACCCAGACUACCCUGGGCACAUGUCAUCAGGACCUCCUGAGAUUAUGUCAUGGGCAGGUCCUUAACCUUGGCAAAAUAAACUUUCCAAAUUGACUUAGACCCAGUCUCAUAUUUUGGGUUCAUAUCUGUAUGAGAAAAUGUUAUUAAUAUAAAUACUCCAAAAACUGUAUGGAAGGCCAGGUGUGGUGGCUCAUGUCUAUAACCCCAGCACUUCAGCAGCCAAGGCAGGAGGAUCGCUUGAGCCCAGGAGUUCAAGACCAUCCUGGGCAAUAAGGCAAGACCCUGUCUCCUUUUUAAAAGAACUAUAUGAAGUUUCUAGAAAUUUGUCAAUGCACUCACUGUCCAUAAUAUAUUCUGAUAUAAUGUUAUCAAUCAUAAUUCCAGUUAUUAUCUUAAAAUGUUGUUUGGCACAGAAAUGACCAAAUUUCCUUGUCAACUCCAUUAUUUUGAUAAUGAACUCUAAUAAAAUCUUUAACCAUGGCCAUUUUAGGUCUUUUGUCAUUCACAUAUAAUUACUCUUAUAUUCGAAUGCUUCCCUGAAGGCUCACAAUCAGCUACAAGCUGGAAUGCUUCAUAUUCAACAUAAGUGACUGCCUCAGAGACCCAUAGAAAGAAUUAUAAAGGUACUCUGGGGUAUAGAUUUCUCAUGACAUUGCUUACAUAACUUUGAAAUCAUACCACUGGACUGGGUAGGAAUUUCCAGAACCCUACCAGAGACGCUAAUAGGUGCAUCAAAACUGAUAACCCUCAUCUGUAAAAUAGGAAUGAAAAUUAAAAUUUAAAAAACAAAAAAAACUGGGCUGGGCCGGGCAUGGUGUCUCAGCACUU